rnacentral:lncRNA from 1 species
AUGUCUCUUAUAGUUCCGCAGGACACUUUCCCCCCUCUGUCAUCUGUAACCUAAUUUGACAAAUUGUCUGAAAAACAAUUAAUGCUGUCUUUUAUUUUAAAGCCUGAAACAACGGACUUGCACUUCAGAAGCAGAGCUUGAGGAAAAGAAACAUUUAUAUCCUGAGUGUGUGUCUCCAUAUGAAGAAAACUGUAGCUCCUACACCAGGCAACUCCCAGAUGGGACGGGAAAUUACUCAAGGUCCAACAAGAAAUCUGCCCAAAAGUACAGCCUCAUGCAGUGGGUGAGCAAGAACUUGGCCAAACACCACCAUUUCCAGAGCAUCCCUGACCACUUACAGCGUCGCCCCGUGAUAGCCUGGUCUAAUGUCUGAUUUUGCUGCCGAGGGACUGUGCUGGUUCUUGCUCUUCAUUUAGAGUUGUUCUUAAGUUCUGGUUUUGAGUGGUUUGUAUCUUCACGAGUUGUUUUAUGAUCUGUUUUUAAUAAGGCCAAUGGAAAUUUCUGUGUUUUAGAAACAUUUGGAACUGGUUUUGAAGCCUGAUUUCAAUGUGAUCUGUUUCUGUAGAGGUAACUUCUGUGUUUUGCAUCAUGCUUUGUUAUCCUUUGAACUGAAAACAACCUCCUCACAGAGCAGGUAACAGAAGCAGUUGGUGUUCAAGAGGCAAGAUUGUGUGUUGGAUGUGAGGAUGUAACGUUUCAAUGAUGGAAUCUGGAAAAUGUGCUUUGAAUUGGAAAAACUUUUCUUUAAAGCUUGGACCUAAACUUUGGUAUUAAAUCUCCUACAGUGGUUGGGGCUCCCUUUGAAUAACGUGAAGGCUUCAAAUUGUGAAAAUGGCUCGUGCCUGCUGUCUCCCUCCGUUUGGCAAAGACCGAGUUGUGUUUGUUCACUGUAAACUCAGGAGCACCAGUUGAUUUACCUCGUUUGGGUAUGUCUUGUCUUGUCCUGUUCUUCUUUCUGUCCCUGAAAAGUUUGCUGUCUCUUUUGAUUGUUUUUGCUUGUGGUUUUGUUUGUAAC